GGCAGACGGGUGAGUAACAUGUAGGUAUCUACCCUUUGGCCUGGAAUAACACGAGGAAACUUGUGCUAAUACCGGAUAAGUCUUUACGGAGAAAGCUUUAUGCACCAUUGGAUGAGCCUGCACUUGAUUAGUUUGUUGGUGGGGUAAUGGCCUACCAAGACAGUGAUCAAUAGCUGAUUUGAGAGGAUGAUCAGCCACAUUGGGACUGAGACACGGCCCAAACUCCUACGGGAGGCAGCAGUGGGGAAUCUUGCACAAUGGAGGAAACUCUGAUGCAGCGAUGCCGCGUGAGUGAAGAAGGCCUUUGGGUUGUAAAGCUCUUUCGUCGGGGAAGAAAAUGACUGUACCCGAAUAAGAAGGUCCGGCUAACUUCGUGCCAGCAGCCGCGGUAAUACGAAGGGACCUAGCGUAGUUCGGAAUUACUGGGCUUAAAGAGUUCGUAGGUGGUUGAAAAAGUUAGUGGUGAAAUCCCAGAGCUUAACUCUGGAACUGCCAUUAAAACUUUUCAGCUAGAGUAUGAUAGAGGAAAGCAGAAUUUCUAGUGUAGAGGUGAAAUUCGUAGAUAUUAGAAAGAAUACCAAUUGCGAAGGCAGCUUUCUGGAUCAUUACUGACACUGAGGAACGAAAGCAUGGGUAGCGAAGAGGAUUAGAUACCCUCGUAGUCCAUGCCGUAAACGAUGUGUGUUAGACGUUGGAAAUUUAUUUUCAGUGUCGCAGCGAAAGCGAUAAACACAC
rnacentral:rRNA from 1 species